rnacentral:rRNA from 1 species
GUCGAACGAUGAACCAGGAGCUUGCUCUUGGGGAUUAGUGGCGAACGGGUGAGUAACACGUGAGUAACCUGCCCUUGACUCUGGGAUAACCUCCGGAAACGGAAGCUAAUACCGGAUACGAACUGCGAAGGCAUCUUCAGCAGUUGGAAAGAACUUCGGUCAAGGAUGGACUCGCGGCCUAUCAGGUAGUUGGUGAGGUAACGGCUCACCAAGCCUACGACGGGUAGCCGGCCUGAGAGGGUGACCGGCCACACUGGGACUGAGACACGGCCCAGACUCCUACGGGAGGCAGCAGUGGGGAAUAUUGCACAAUGGGCGCAAGCCUGAUGCAGCAACGCCGCGUGAGGGAUGACGGACUUCGGGUUGUAAACCUCUUUUAGUAGGGAAGAAGCGAAAGUGACGGUACCUGCAGAAAAAGCACCGGCUAACUACGUGCCAGCAGCCGCGGUAAUACGUAGGGUGCGAGCGUUGUCCGGAAUUAUUGGGCGUAAAGAGCUCGUAGGCGGUCUGUCGCGUCUGCUGUGAAAACCCGAGGCUCAACCUCGGGCCUGCAGUGGGUACGGGCAGACUAGAGUGCGGUAGGGGAGAAUGGAAUUCCUGGUGUAGCGGUGGAAUGCGCAGAUAUCAG